CUAGAUUUCACUCUCCGUUUCCCUUUCGAAAUUUCAACCUGCACCCCGGAACUGGGUCGAAGAAAUAGCCUAGAUUUGUAGUAUCUGCACAUAAUUCGCAAUCGUCGUUUGAUUAUUUGUUGUUUGAUCUUUCGAUAAGAAUGAUCCGAUUCAUACUUCUGCAGAACAGGCAGGGAAAGACUCGUCUUGCCAAAUAUUACGUUCCUCUUGAGGAUUCCGAGAAGCACAAAGUCGAAUACGAGGUUCAUCGGCUGGUGGUUAACAGAGAUCCCAAGUUCACGAAUUUUGUUGAGUUCCGAACACACAAGAUCAUCUACAGGCGGUAUGCUGGGUUAUUUUUCUCACUGUGUGUUGAUAUAACAGAUAAUGAAUUGGCAUAUUUAGAGUGCAUCCAUUUAUUUGUGGAGAUAUUGGAUCAUUUCUUCAGCAAUGUUUGUGAGCUAGAUUUGGUAUUCAACUUUCACAAGGUUUAUUUGAUACUUGAUGAAUUCAUUCUUGCUGGGGAACUCCAAGAAACAAGCAAGAAGGCAAUCAUAGAGAGAAUGGGGGAAUUGGAGAAGCUCGAGUAAACACGUUCUGUAGUUAGAGCAUUUAGAGAUUUCAUUUUUCCUUGUUCUUCCGCCCAGCUUUGUUUUGUUCUGGUUCUGCAUUUAUUCGUUUGUUCAUUUGGUAAAACCAUUACUUCGCUUGUAAUAUUUGAAAAUCAAGGCGGAAAUUUCCACAUAUGCAUCUCCCUUGGUGUUUGGAACAAUGGUGCUAAUCAUCGAACUUUUUCAUAUCCUUCGUUGAUUAUUAAAGAAUAAAGUUUCG
rnacentral:misc_RNA from 1 species